AUUCCAGCUCCAAUAGCGUAUAUUAAAGUUGUUGCGGUUAAAAAGCUCGUAGUUGGAUUUCUGUUGAGAACGGCCGGUCCGCACUAUGUGCGUGUAUCUGGUUCGGUCUUGGCAUCCUCUUGGAGAACGUAACUGCGCUUGAUUGCGUGGUGCGGUAUUCAAGACUUUUACUUUGAGGAAAUUAGAGUGUUCACGGCAGGCAAGCGCCUUGAAUAUAUUAGCAUGGAAUAAUAAUAUAGGAUCUCGGUUCUAUUUUGUUGGUUUCUAGAAUCAGGAUAAUGAUUAAUAGGGAUAAUUGGGGGCAUUUGUAUUAACGCGUCAGAGGUGGAAUUCUUGGAUUGCGUUACGACAAACUACUGCGAAAGCAUUUGCCAAGGAUGUUUUCAUUA
rnacentral:rRNA from 1 species